GCUGCCACAUGCUGCUUGUGCUACAGGGUGUGUGUGUGGUCACAGCUACAGUGUUCAUGCUGCAGCAUUCUCCAGAAAAAUACUCAAUGAUGAAAGGGCUUCAGUGCAUACAGGAUGAAGUAAAAAAAAAAAAAAAGGUUAAAUAUAAAUCUGUGCAACAUCUAAGGAGAGGAAAAAGAGACUGGUUUGGUGGACAGUGGCAGGGAAGGGAGAACUAAAAGCACAUGUCAAAACAAAUACAUUGAAAAUACAAGAAAUAUUUUCCCUUUGAGAUCUAUCUUUUGUAACAGAAACCGAGAUUGAGAGUUAAAAGAAAACUAAUCUCUGUGUUAUGUCAAUGUAGAAUAGCAUGAUCUUCAGCUUGUAGAAGGGAGGGUAAAGGGUGAUCACCCAAAACCAGCACUUUACUGAGCUAUUUUAUUAAAUGUACUGUUUGGCACAUGGCAAUACAAACUACCAGGAUUCUCAUGCUGGGAAGGGUUGUUUUGGGAUUUAUAUUGCCACUUUGCCAAUGGUUAUAAAGUUCCAAGUCUGGAAAAUUGACCAUUUCUGUGUAAAGAUCACCGUCAUGAAAGAAAAAAAAUAAGUCUGCUUGGUCUUUUACCUUUAUUCCUUUCUUGAAAAACUAUGUUUUUUCAACCUUGAUGAAUUCAAUGUAAAAUCUUCCAUUUUCAGUUAUCAUAGGACACUAUUUGACAUUCACAUUAUCUCAGUCUUGUGGCAUCGGUGGUCUUGCAACAACUGCUGUGUUUUCGUUUCACAGAGCAGGCUGUGCUGCAUACAAAAGACACAUCCCUGGGACAGCAUAUCUGUCUCCAGCGGUACUCCAGAAGGGCCACUGAUGACUUGGUAAUGUUUCUGGGAAGGGAAGGAGAAAGGUUUGCAGAAACGAUUGCCCGCAGUGUCGAUGAGCUGCAGAGCAGACGGAUGAGCUGCUGGCGUCUGUGCGCUCCCCCUCAGCAGAGGCUCUGUGCCAAGCUGUGACAUCAUGGGCUAAUGGAUCAGCCUGGUGCUGCUGCAUCGGGACUGCUGCUUCUGUCUUAAGAAACAGCUUCCUGCAAAGGCCAGAUGUAACCUUUGAUGAAGGAUGAGAGCUAUGCAGAAAAAUUUUGGACAGAGUCCUGCAAUUCACUGCUUCUUGAAAGAGGCAACUCAGUAGCCACAAAUCCUGGGCUUUACCCUAUACUGGUUAAAAUUUGUGGACUUUCUACUGGAAAAAAAAGUUGAAAUUACCAAUGCUGUUGGAAUUCGUAAUGGCUUUGAAAGACAAAGAUUUAGAAACCAACAUCCUUGUUAUUAAAAAUAAAAUUAAAACAGCAGCUCUAAUUCAUGUCUGUGAGUGAUCUCUUUUUGGUUACUUCUGUACAAAGUUUUAAUAAAUUGCUCUGUAAAUUAGGAGAAGGGGAAGAGAAUAAUCCCUGGCAUGGAAUAGAGAAAUUCUGAAUAAAGACGAUGACCAUAAAAUCUUUCUGUCUGUGCUCUAGUAUGGCUUUCACCAUCUGACAUAUAGAUAUGAUAACUGAGGAAGCUAUGUGAUGGUUUAAGUGCCUUUUGGAAUAUGGAGCCUUUCCUGAACAGACAGAACCUUGGAUGGAUGGAUCAGGAAAAAGGCAAAUGUCUUGUUGAAAAAUCUGUCUUCUCUGCAUCUAAAUGAAGUUGGGACUGUAAGGCUUUUAUGAGGAAAAGCUGAUGAUUAAGUCUUUUCAGUGCACAUAAGCACAUAAUAAAUCUGGAUCUGAACUCAGCAAUGUGACUGACUGUACAGCAGGGUGUAUCUGAAAAGCUAUAACUUUGAAAUCUAUGGAAAGAUUUUGCAGUCCAUUCUCCAGUUCUGCAUAUUGAAUUAAUCAGUUGCAAUUUAUACCUCUGUUUUGAUUAUGGAGCACUUGAGUAACUUACAUAGCAGUGCAGGAGCCAGAUUUAUAGUGGAAAUGUAUUAAUCUUUGUGAGAUAAAUAUCUAAAACCCUAUUUGUAGUCUGAAUAGAAGGAAAAUGUGUGGGAAGAUGAGCAGGAUCUGGCUGUAUAUUUAGUCUUUGGUAUCUGUUUAGCAGGGUUGUUCAUAGAUAAAAAGGAGCCGUCUACUUUGUUGCAAAGAAAAUUCUUACUGGAUUAUAUCAAUUUCUUUGUUGUCCAGGUUUGUUCUGUAGAAUUAUUCUGACUUAUUCAUCAGCAAGUUUACCCUGACUAAAUGAGGUCCAGCUCAUGUUUUAUGUAACACGGUAGAUGUUAAUAAAUAGUCAUCUUAUGGCCAGGUAUAUUUGACCUGAAUUCAUUAUGUUAGUCAAACUCACUUAGCAACUAUUUUAAACCUGAGGAAACGAUUCCAGGGCAUAAAUGGCAUCUUAUUUUUUAGGUGACUAAAUCUGAAUAUUAAUUAAAUAUCGUGUAAAACUUGGACGUAAAGUUGAAGGAGCUCCUCUACACACAGAGGGGCAGCAAAACAGGGAAGUUUGAAGGGUGGUUUAGUUUCUGCUUGGGAUUUUGUUGUUGUUAUUUUCUUUCUUGUUUUUUAAUUUAUUUUUUGUUGUUCUGGCUUUGCUUUGUUCUCUACCUCUGUGUCAGAAGACUUAAUUCAAAGGAGAGCUUGAAUUUAAGACCCAAAAAAGGAAGGAAGGCAGGAUGCAAUUCUCUAGAAUUUUCUGUUAUGUAACUAGAAGAAGUGGAUAUUUUUUCAAAGAUGAAAGGGUUUUCUUGUUUUUCUUCUUCAAAGAGUUAAUUAGCCUCUUGUCAUUGUCAACAAAUGAAAAUAAAAUAUUUGGGUCUUACCUUGCUAAAGUGGCCCAAAUUUUUUUUUUCCCUGGUUGUUUGAACAUUGAUCAGGACUCUCUUCUGGGGCAUUAUCAAGCAACCUUGAUGUAUGUGUGGUAAUAUUUUCUGACAAAUGUACAUCGUGAUGUGAGAAAUGAGCUGAUUGUACCCUUCCCUGUACUAAAUUUCUCUUUACUCCUCUGCCUAUGCUUCAGAUAUUUUACCAUUUCUGCGUGGAAAUGGAGGCCUGUCCAUGUUUGUCAAAGCUCUUAAAUCUGUCCUCAGGUCAUUCUCCCAUGUCAUUGGUAAAAGUGACAGAUCUGGUAUGUAGAAAAAAUGAGCAUAAGGAGACAAGAAAAAUCUACCAGAAAGAUCACUUUAUGGGCUAACAUAUUUAUGCAAAGCAACUAUUCAUAUUGUGUACCCAUCUCACUGGUUCUUUGCUCAAUAGGUACAAAACAUUCUCCUUCCUGCAAAUUACCACGUGGAACUGAGGGUUCACAUGAAAUGGAGCAGCAUGAGAUGUUGUACAGCAAUGUAAAUGCUAGUCAGAAUGCUCUGUAGCUGUCACACUUACCUGAAGGUAACUGUGUAGCAAAGCUAAAAUAUUACCUUUUUUCUACUUGAGUGAAGAAUGCUGCUCUAUCAGUCUUAAUUGUACCUAUUGGAUUCUGUGCACACACACAUAUAUAGUUGAUUAUACAGUUAGGAUAUAUGUGCUUCAUUUUAUUUAUCUGUUUGUCAGGAUCAAUUCUUUAUGAUUGUAUUUAUCCUUUAAUUUAUAAUUGGUUUUCAGAAAUUUACAUCUAUCCUGAAUAGAUCUGUUAGCAUUAUUGGGUUUGAAUGUCCUUUAAUUUGCUUUACUGUCAAACGAGGCUGUACAUAAGACAGAAAUAUUCAUGUCUCAUCCUCUUUCAUUUUCUGUUUAGGCUGCAUCAGUUUUAUUCUCUUCACUCUUAAUAGUCUAAGGGCCAUUAUAGGGUUGUGAAUACAGUUCUUUCAGCAAAAAAAUAAGCCUGAACUUUAGCUCUUUGUUUUGGCUUUUUUUUUUUUUUUUUUUUUUUUGAGGUUUCUUUUGUGAGGCCACUCAGAAGUAUUUAUCUCUUUCAAAACGAAUUUUGGAGAAGCAUUUUGGAUGCUGGGAGCGUAUUGUCCUCCUUGCCCUCACCACACAAGUUCUAAAGGAUUUUUUCUCCCCAAAGUGUCUUGCUACAUAAACAGAUGACCUACCUGUUUACCACACUCAUUCCUGGAUAUGAAAUACAUUUCAGUGACUCAGUGCUUCCUAUUAAGCAAUAUUACCAGUAUUCAGAGGAAGGUGGUGGAAUUUUCCAUGCUCUCUGUGGAAAAUUGUUUAUUUCCAGUAUGUCUGAAAGACUUACUGCAGAUGCCUUUCUGAUAUCACUUCCUUUUAGAAACUAAAGAAGAGAUAUUUAAAAACUUUAGAAGAAAUAUCUUUGAUAUCUCAGGACCAGGUAAUAUACGAAUAUUUAUACAUUAAUAAUAUUACACCAGGAUUCAUUUCCCCAAUUGUAAAACUAAUGGAACAAACAGACAAUUUUCAGAUAUGCCAUAAGAAAUGUGAACACAAUAUGAACAAUUUUCGAUGGUCACCAUAUGAAAGCCUGCUGCUACCAUUGGACCGUUCUGUUAUUUUAUGUAAUCAUAAUCUUUGAUCUUCUGCAACAACAUUCACAAGUUUUGGGUGGGGUCCUGCACUUACCUCUAAGGGAUGACUGUUACUGCAUAGAUCCCCAUGUGGUUUUUGUCACGGCUGUGUCUCUAUGUGGCCAUUCACAAGACGAAAAUGGACCUGGGCAUAUGGGGAAUUUUGAGCCCAUGUGUUACUCAUGGGUACAUUUUUGUUUCUAAAACUAAGAAAUUAUUAGGAUCCUAUUUUGCCCUUUAGUGUCUGCUUGGGUACUGCAGUUUCUUUUACCAACUUGAAAAAGAAGUAAAGAGCUCAGUAGGUGAGAAAGCUGAACUUUUAACAUUUCUUUUCCAGGAUAAAGGCGAGCAGGAAUGUAAUAUUUCUAUAAUCUCUGUUGGUGAAGAUUCCUCUAGUGAUCCCUUCUAGACACCACGACUAAUUCUUCUCUCUAAUAUAUUAAGGUAAAUUAAGACUGAAAAGAUCACUGUCAUACCUGUAAUAGUGUUGUUUUUGUUGAAGGAGAGAGGCCUUUGCCUGAGAAUUGCGAUGAUUCAGUAUUGGGUACUUUUUAUGGAAGAGUAAUUUUUCAUUGAAGUGUUUUUGGGGUUUGUUUGUUUGUUUGUUUUGUUUGCUUGCUUUAUUGUUUUCUUUGCUUUGUGUGUGGUGGUGGUUUUCUUUGUCUUAUUUGAAUUUUUGCUGUACUGAUACAGGGAAGCUAUGAAUUUCCUCAAUUUCUCUGUAUGUGUUGUUCCCUUUUAGGAAUGAGAAUAUUGUGUCUUCUCAAAAUUAAAUUAAAGUCUAGCAUAAGUCACUUGGAACAAAUCUCAGUGAUUUCUGUCUGGAGAAGCAGCACAGACAUGGAUCACAUUUACUCCAACCUGUUGUGUAUUCUGAAGUUAUAUAUAAAUGCCUUAAGGGUCAAUUUGAUCACUCAUGAGGUUGUCAAAGGGACUUGAAUGACAACAGCCACCAUUUAAGUACCAACAGCUGCCUCCAAGCAGUUGCAGAGACUUCCAUCUAGUGCUGCUAUCCGCUCUCUCUGUGCCUUCUCUGUGGCCUGCUAAUAGCCAAGGGACAAAUUUAAGUGGCACCUUUGCCUCCUAGCUUUGGGAAGGGGAGCUUUCACAGUGUGCUUGUGCCUCACACUUCAGGAGAGGCAAAGGUCACAGUGGGCAGGACAACCAAUCCUUUGGAUGGAACACAGGAGAAAGGGAGUGUUUAACCUCCUGCAGAUAGAGCACCCGGUUUGGAUAUUUGCCAGUGUUUUAGGACAUCAGUGUCCCACCUUGGGAGCUUUGUAAAAACAAGGGUGUUGUCUAUUCUGCAGGCAGGCUAUAGAAUGUUUUAAUUUUUUUAUAUUGGUAGUACUACCUUGGUGCCAAGUUGGUGAUCGGUCUCUGGGGUUCACCAUGCAUCUUCUCCAGGUUUUAUUUUGUCUGUGAUAUAUAUAUCACAAAGUUAUAUCUACAUAUAUUUAUCAAGUGUUUUACAUUAAUUUUUCAGGCAGCUGUAGCACUUCUGCUGCAGAAAAAUGAGCAUAAUGUAAGGCUGGCUUUCCUGACCUUUUUAAUCAUGACUUUACAUGAAUUUUUCCUGUAGAGUCACCAUGUUAACACUUGUCUUUUAAAAAGUGAUAGUUGCAUUUACUAAUAGUAGCUAUUUAUACAGUCAUUGACCUGCUAGCAGAGGGGUAAAAAGUGCCUUCAAAUAAAAUUUUAUUUGCACAGUCCAGAUGUUCAAUAAAACCCAAUUUCCUAUAUAACUAAUAUUCCUUGACUUUUGUAAUUUUUCAUUUGGUUUAUCCUACUAAUUGUUUUAAAUCACGGUUUUUAACUUGUGCAUCCUUGUUUCCAGAGCACCAGCAAUUUAAAUGACUGUAAGAAGAGUCUACUCUGUUACACAAGAGGCAGUAUCUCUUUCACCUUUUAUAUGUGCAUUUUUAAAUGUGUAUAACUCUGAACAACCUGCUUGCAGUGCAGUGACAACUGCAUGCUUGUGCAGUAGUAAAAUUAGUAGCUAUUAAUUAUUUUAAUAACUUUAUUUUAAAAAUUAGUUGAGCUUUUCCAUCAAACAAAAGAUAUGAUAUUCAUUUCUAGUUUACUUUUAGGGAUGGCUGAUGCUGGAAAAUUAUGUAGAACAAGAAUGUAGAUUGCAAAAUUAAUAUUCUUGUUGUCUCCACAAAGGAAUGUGAGGUUUUCAAAUGGUAUAAGGUGCCGUGUUGGAGCCGUUUUAAUUCCUGAUAUCUAUUUACUUGAGUUUCUGCAUUGCACAGCUUUGAUGUCUUUGUCCUUGGACUCUUCAUGUUUAGGUGUAUAAAUAUCUCCCUGCAAUGUUUACAGAAGCUUUGUAUGGCAGCCACAUUCAUGUGGAGUAAAGGUGGGGUCUCUGCUGGGGGUUUAAUCCAACUGUUUCUCAGUCCUUGAGAAUUUUUUCAUCCCUACUUGACUCAUUUGUCUUUUCCUCUCUCCUCUCCCUGCUAUUAAUAGAGUUUAUUUAAAUUAAAUAUUAUAAGUGCAGUGUCAUCAGCUCAGCUUAGAAUAAACAGAAAAGCAUAUCCUGGUGGGCAAACCAGAGGCGGAUCUCCAUUGCAUGUUGUCAGUGAUGGUGGGAGGGUGUUAUAUGUAGCUUGGAAUUACAAAAGAGUUUAUGCAUCUGUUUAAUAUAGUAAAGUAUUUUAAAGAACAGGAGAUAAUGUAUAAA